UACGGAGGGUACUAGCGUUGUUCGGAAUUACUGGGCGUAAAGCGCACGUAGGCGGGCUUGUAAGUCGAUUGUGAAAGCCCCGGGCUCAAUCCGGGAAUUGCAGUCGAAACUACGAGUCUUGAGUACCUGAGAGGGUGACGGAAUUCCUGGUGUAGAAGUGAAAUUCGUAGAUAUCAGGAGGAACACCGGUGGCGAAGGCGGCCCUCUGGACGGUGACUGACGCUGAGACGCGAAAGCGUGGGGAGCAAACAGG
rnacentral:rRNA from 1 species